GCCUUGCUAGCUCAAUCGGUAGAGCGUGAGACUCUUAAUCUCAAGGUUGCGGGUUCGACCCCCGCGUGGGGCU
rfam:Sphaerobolus stellatus SS14 unplaced genomic scaffold SPHSTscaffold_21, whole genome shotgun sequence.